AGUGAACGCUGGCGGUAGGCCUAACACAUGCAAGUCGAACGGCAGCACAGUAAGAGCUUGCUCUUACGGGUGGCGAGUGGCGGACGGGUGAGGAAUACAUCGGAAUCUACUUUUUCGUGGGGGAUAACGUAGGGAAACUUACGCUACUACCGCAUACGACCUACGGGUGAAAGCAGGGGAUCUUCGCACCUUGCGCGAUUGAUUGAGCCGAUGUCGGAUUAGCUAGUUGGCGGGGUAAAGGCCCACCAAGGCGACGAUCCGUAGCUGAUCUGAGAGGAUGAUCGGCCACACUGGAACUGAGACACGGUCCAGACUCCUACGGGAGGCAGCAGUGGGGAAUAUUGGGCAAUGGGCGCAAGCCUGAUCGAGCCAUGCCGCGUGAGUGAAGAAGGCCUUCGGGUUGUAAAGCCCUUUUGUUGGGAAAGAAAAGCAGCAGGUUAAUACCCCGCUGUUCUGACGGUACCCAAAGAAAAAGCACCGGCUAACUUCGUG
rnacentral:rRNA from 1 species